CCCAAAACCCAACGGGACAGCAGCCUCCCAAACCCCUACCGCCGCCGGAGACAGUCGCGCGAACUCCGAGGCGGCCGGCAUCGGGCCUCUCGCGCGGGCGGCGGACCAUUCCCGCGGUCCGGAGGCUUGAUUCGCGCCUCGCAUGCGGUGGCGGCUCCGUCUUCGGCCUGCCGGAGUGGGCUGCGGCGGUUGGCGCAAUGCGAGCUACCGCUGCAGGUGCGACUCGGUGAGCUGCGGUCGCUUCCUUUAUCUUCUCUGGAAAUUGAAGACUUUGAUGGAGAAGGCAAAGACGAAAGCAAAGAGAACUGUGAAUCCAACAACAGCGGUAGCUACAUAACCCAAUUGAUCAUGAUGGAAUCCAAAGAAUCUGCUGACAAAAUCUUUCACUGUUUCCCCAUCAUCUUUCAGCGUAACAUUUGUGAUAUCUCCAAACUGUGAGGCCACAAGUCCAUAUAGUGUCCAAGCCACUGGACAUGCCCAUGAGUACCAUCUCCACCAUAUUGGUAUCCUCUGCAACCCAGCAGCGUAUGCUUCAGCAUCAACAAUAUAGAGAAAAUUGAGCUGUUGCAAUGUAGUACAAGGAGUUACAAUUGGAAACUUACUGGUCGAGGGAUAAGGAAGCCGGCAAAGAUAUUCCAUAUAGCGUAGAAUGCAGUUGAGACUAUGGCAGCAAUGUCGCUGUUUGGUGUCAUGGCGACCGCCAUCAUGCCGUAGAACGUGAAGUACAUGAAGGUGAAGAACAUGAAGAACAUAUACCAGAAGAACUUCUCAACUGUCCAGUCAAAGCCAAUCAAGCUGUAGACAAUGAGACCAUACACGGCUGUCUGAAGGAAGAUAUGUGGGAUCUCAAUAAGAACCUGUUGAAAGGUUAAACAGUUAGAACCUAAAGUUAUAAUUCAGCACUAGAUUCAAGGAAGAACAAUGCAAUUAUUACGUUUUAUUUAAAUCUUCAGUUACGAUCAAUUACCUGUGCAAAAGCAUAGGGUAGAGCAGAGUACAUGCCAGCUGCCUUUUCUCGGUAGAAAACUGUUCGCUCAACAUCCACAAUCGGUUGCACAGUUUGACCAUUCUGAAUUCCAAUGAAAAGAACUGCUGCAUACAUGGAUCCCAAAGAAUUGAACAGGUCCUGCUUUGUGCCACUGAAAGUAAGAACAAAAGUACAGUAAGUUUCUUUGUCACAGUAUGCCAACAUAGAUCAGGUCAUUCACGUCUCAGUUGGAGUUGUAAGCAAGGGCACUCACAUUUUCUUGCCUAAGUUUAAGAAGAUGGUUCCGAAGAUGAGAGCUAUAACUGUUGUGAAGAAGAUUCUAGUUGCGGUGUAUGAUGGAUUUCUCCAGUAAGACUUGUGCUGCUUCCACAGGCAAGCCAUGCUUUGUGUGAGGAAGGACUGCGAGUACUGGGUUGGGAAGUACAAGUCCUUGGAUCCAGGUGGAGGUGUGCUUAGUUCACUGAUUAAAGCUUUGUUCCUCCUGCAAUGGUGCAUCCUAAUCAGUGACUUGAAACACAUCAUAGAUAAAGGACAAACACCAUUCUGAGGUUGAUGUCACUGAACAUACCGGUAUAGGUCAGAGUUUCUGUAUACUUCGGCAAAAUUUAUCCCAAGGAUAUCCUCUUGAGCUAAGGUGGUCACUUCCAACAUCCAUGUUGCAGGGUUGUAACCAUCCUUGAUUUUCUUCACUCCUUGUAUUCCCUACAUUUGACACACCAAGCAAAGGUUAUCAUGUGUCAUAAGUUAGAAGUUGAAUAUUUUGUUCAGUGAGUAAAGCUCACCUCAAAGUAUUCAAUCAGAUGGCACGAGUUGCGUCCCAAGGGGCCGACAUAUAUUUCUUCCCCUCCCCGUUUCAUCAGGAAUAGCUGCGGAAGUUCAAGAAUGAUAUAUGAGCAUUGCUUCCAGAGUUCAAGAUUACCAUGGAAAGCUCCCAGUUUCAUAAUUAUCACAACUUACCUCAUCAAAAGCUUCAAAAAUAUCAAUGCUGGGCUGGUGGAUUGUGCAGACAACUGUCCUUCCUGUGUCCACAGUAUUCCGGACUGUCCUCAUCACAAUUGCAGCAGCCCUGGCAUCUAGUCCUGAAGUUGGUUCAUCCAUGAAUAUGAUGGAUGGGUUGGCAACGAGUUCAACAGCAAUAGUGAGCCUCUUUCGCUGUUCAGUGGAUAAACCAUUUACUCCUGGCAGUCCCACCAAUGCUCCCCUCAAAGGUGUCAAUUCCACUAGUUCCAUGACUUCUUCCACAAACAUCUGAAUCCAUGAAUUGAUCCAAUUAGCCAAGAAUUCUAGUAAUAGUUUGCAAUGCAAAAUGGUAAUGAAUUGCUUUUGAGCUAGCAAAUUGAAGGGUUCUUUUUCACCUACCUUUCUUGCUUCUGAGUCUACUUCUGGCGGCAACCGAAGCCAUGCUGAGUACAGGAGGGAUUCGUAGACAGUGACAUGUGGAGAGUGGAUAUCAUUUUGCUCACAGUAGCCAGCAAUCCGAGCGAAGGUCUCUUGCUUCUUUGGGUAUCCAGAGAUGGAAAUGGCUCCCUCAAUGUAACCGCCAGUUUUCCUUCCUGCCAGUACAUCCAUCAGGGUAGUCUUACCCGCUCCACUGACUCCCAUCAGUGCCGUCAGGACUCCUGGUCUGAAGGCUCCGCUUACACCCUUCAGCAGCAGUAACCUGUCUUCAGUAAUACCUUUGUCUUUCAUUUCCUGUCAAGAAGUCAUAGAAUUAAUACUUAUUAUUUAGUAUUACCAGUUUCUGUGCUAAAUAUAAGGCAUGUUUUCUGAUUUGUGCUUACCUGAGGCAUGUCCACAGAGUAUUUGAUAUUGUCAAAGGUGAUUGACAAUGGUGUAAAUGGAAGUACCAUUCCUCUCUUCCUGGUGCCAGCUCCAACGAUUUCUCUUCUUCCUGCAUUUGUUGGACUUGUUAUAAGAAUGCAGCAAUGUCAUGUUCGAUUUAUCAGGUGGUGCACACGAAUAUCCUUUGGACUAACCAUCAGGAGAAAUCUGGGAAUCUGUUCCAAGCUGCAGCAGCUCGAUAUUUUCACCAGUGCGGUUUACAUGCUUCUCCUGCAGUUCCUCUUCAGAAACAACAGUUUGACCUUUUCCAAGUGCUGUGGUUUUGAGAACGGCGUCAGUGCCAAGCAUGAGAUGCUUUGAGUUCUAUGAAUUAAUCUAUUUUGGAGCUGAGAAGGUACUCACGGCCAAGCCAGUUGAGGAACAAAACGAAGAGUAUGUUGAAGAGCAUGAUGUACCCAAGCAAUGCACCGGCACCAAUCCAAUACCAGUUUGGGUCGACAAAGAUGCCACGUGCCUUCAGAAUUUGGACACCAAGUGUCUCGUUACUUCUUGUUGGAUCAACAAUCUGCAUAAAGUUUGACAUUGUUUGUCAUCUAUCUAUCUGAACUACACAAUGAUCACGCCUAGAUUGCUUCAGAGAAGAUGCAUUACCAUCUGCCAGCUGUGGCCCAGGAACUCAUUAUUAGCUAUGGCAUUCUGUGCAUACAUCAGAGGGGAGGACCAGUAGCCCCAAAUCCACCAUUUCUUGAUGUUAUCUGUAGAUAGAGAGCGAAAACUCAGUUCCAUGCUCUGGAUAAUGUCUAAACAUUGUCUGAAUGGAGACUUGACAUACCUCUUGCUAUCAAAAAGCCACCAAGGAUCAGAAGAACAAGCUGAGCAAAUGACCCAAAGGUGUCUGCGACAACCAUUUCUCUUCCUAAUGCAGCUAGAAGCCGGAAAAGACCAGACGCCAUCUGGCUGAUCAGUACAAGCAGCAGGUAAUGGCGGAAGAACCUUUCGAUAUUUGGAUCAAAGCCAAUGACAUAGUAAGUCAUGCCAAUCCACACAGCGCAUUCCAAGAACGAUAUUGGGAUCUUGAGCACCCAUGUAGGCAAUGCGUAUGCCCAAGAUGGAUAGAAGAGCAGAUCCCUCUGCUUAUAGAAUAUCGGCAGCUUUGCAAUGCUCAUGGCAAGCUCAGCGAAACCAUUAAACAAAUGUGUGACUAGGCCAAGGAACAUUGCCCCCAGAAAUAUCACUCCAUCUUCUACACUGCGUCGAUGCAUUGUCGUGCGCAGGAAGACUGUCAUUGCAAUGGUUCCGAGGAUUAUGAGCUGGUACAAAUAUGGAACGUUCAUCAGAAAUUAUUGUCUGAAUUGAGAAGAUUUCAGGAAGCAGGAUACGUACUUGGACUACUUUGAAGAUGUAAACAAACGAGUUCCUCUUCAUCAACAGCCACUCCCUAGAGAAGCAUGCCCUGAGAAGCUCCAUCUUGCUGAUACCAUACUUGGACGUUGUGAGAGCUGCAGGAUGGUUCCUGGUUCGAUCGAAUGGCACCUUGAGCUCCGAUCCUAGCUUACGCCCAACAUGGAAUGCUUUGAAUGCCUCUGCAAACUCAUUAACUGAGAUGUAUCGGUAUGGCUCAUCUCUUUGACACCAAUACUGAUGCUGAUCCUUCCUAGACGUAACCUGUGAUACCACAAAAAGAAACACUGUGAGAUUGGAGUUCCGAAUCACAACUUGCAGCUAGCAUGAUUCUUUUGGAAUACUCACUUCUUGCAAGAAGUCUGCAACACCUUUUCUCUCAGGACAUUUGAAGCCCAUGGCCUCAAAGAAUUCGAGGACAUGCUCACGAGGACCCUGGUAUACAAUUUGGCCUUCAGAGAGGAGAACAAUGUCAUCAAAGAGCUCAUAUGUUUCAGGUGCAGGCUGAAGCAAUGCGAUAAGUGCCGUUCCACCAAGGAUGUGGACCGACUGCCGUAGAGAGUUAACAAUCUGAUAUGUUGUGGAGCUGUCCAGACCAGUGGAUAUUUCAUCCAUGAAUAGUGCCUUAGCUGGCCCAACAAGCAUCUCACCUGUGGAAGUUAAACAAGUCAAGAAGUCAGAUUUUACGGUCAGGUUCGAAGGGCUUGAUGCACAUAUCAUUCUAUAACUUCAGGUUGCACAUACCUGUUGUGACACGCUUCUUUUGUCCUCCUGAGACACCUCUAAUCAUAGAAUCCCCAACCAUUGUAUCUGCACAGAUCUCCAGACCCAGAAUCUGCAUAGCAAUACAAGUACUGUUAGGGGGGCAGAUCCAUUUCUCCUGCUACUUUUCAUGUAGUGUAUUCUUACUCACUUUGAGGAUAUAAUCUGUGACCACGCUCUCCUGGCCUUCCACAGAGAUAGCCUGUUUGCGCAGAAGUGCACAAUAACUUGAGUACCCCUUGUUACUUCCAAUGUAAAUACAGGGUUUAGUUCGAAUUAAAUGAAUUAUACCUUCAUGUAAACAUCGAUAUCAGGAUCUGGCUUAAUGUUGGCUUCUUUCUCCCUUCUUGAGAGUUCCGUGAGCAUGUCUGUAUAAUACAAAACACUAUAAGGUUCACUCUGCCAAAGAGAAGGCAAGUGUUUCCCGGACCGUCAUUUCGCCGACGUGAACAUCGUGCUGACCGAUGUACGCAGAUGUCCGCUGAGGGACAAAUUCAUCCAUGUCGUGCCCAUUUCUUUUUGCCUGAAGUUCAGAGCAACUCAAACUCAAGAUAAUAUGCAAGAUGUGGUACAUACCUUGAGAGAUGAGUCAAGUUUCCCUGACAGAGAUAGAAGUAGACUUGUUUUCCCUGACCCAGGAGGGCCAAGCAACAGAGACAUCCUGAACAAUUUCCACGCGGAUGGAGAUCGGCCUCUUCCCGCUCGAAACGAUGCGCAGAGCACUCAGUGCAUCCUGUGGUGGGAUUUGGAGCAGCUCAACGGAGUGAGAAGCUGAAGAAACCUGAAAGUUGUACGGUUUCCACGGCUAGGAUGAACUCGUGAAGCUACCACUGCGGUCUGCAGAUGCGUACCAUGACUUUGUUGGAGAAGAAGUUGGUGAACGUCGGGAGGCCCCUGUUGCCGACGUAAGCCUCCGCGUCGAUGCUGAGGUGCUCAAACCGCACUUCUAUUGUCGGAUUGUCAAUCCCAACUCUGCAAAAAACCAGCACAAAUUGUGAAUAUGCGCUGCAUAAUGAGAUGGUUUCUGAUGCUUUCCCAGAACAUUUUCCAAGUG